UGUGUGUGUGUGUCAAGGUGUGUGUGUGUGUGUGUGUGUGUGUGUGUGUGUGUGUGUGUGUGUGUGUGUGUGUGUGUGUGUGUGUGUGUAUGUCAAGGUGUGUGUGUGUCAGGGUGUGUGUGUGUGUAUGUCAAGGUGUAUGUGUGUCAGGGUGUGUGUGUGUCAAGGUGUGUGUGUGUCAGGGUGUGUGUGUGUCAAUGUGUGUGUGUGUCAGGGUGUAUGUGUGUCAGGGUGUGUAUGUGUGUGUCUCUAUGAAGGGUUUCUAACAUGGAUGUGGUGGGGAACACUAAGGUCUGUCAUGUCACCAUGGUGAGGGUCACAGAGGGUCAGGAAGGUCAGCCUGACAUAGUGGAACUCUCUCUACACCAAUCACAACGCAGGACACACGGGGGGAGGCGACGUUUUCAGGACAGCUCCUGGACCUGUAGAGCAAGGAGACAACAUGAGGUUAGACACACGGGGGGAGACGACAGGACAGCUCCUGGACCUGUAGAGCAAGG
ensembl:lncRNA